UACGAAGGGGGCUAGCGUUGUUCGGAAUCACUGGGCGUAAAGCGCACGCAGGCGGAUCGUUAAGUCAGGGGUGAAAUCCCGAGGCUCAACCUCGGAACUGCCUUUGAUACUGGCGAUCUUUGAGUCCGGGAGAGGUGAGUGGAACUCCGAGUGUAGAGGUGAAAUUCGUAGAUAUUCGGAAGAACACCAGUGGCGAAGGCGGCUCACUGGCCCGGUACUGACGCUCAUGUGCGAAAGCGUGGGGAGCGAACCGG
rnacentral:rRNA from 1 species